rnacentral:ncRNA from 1 species
UCUUAGAUUUAUAGGUGGAAAUUCACUUCUAGUAAUUCUUUUUUAGAAGGGAGCUUGACUGCAAGACCCACCCGUCGAGCAGGGACGAAAGUCGGCCUUAGUGAUCCGACGGUGUCGAGUGGAAGGGUCGUCGCUCAA